rnacentral:tRNA from 1 species
AAAAAAUUAGUUAAUAAAUAAUAUUAAAAUGUCAUUUUAAAGUAAUUGUAAAAAUAUUUUUUU